rnacentral:rRNA from 1 species
GUGGGGAAUAUUGGACAAUGGGCGCAAGCCUGAUCCAGCCAUGCCGCGUGAGUGAUGAAGGCCUUAGGGUUGUAAAGCUCUUUCAGUGGGGACGAUAAUGACGGUACCCACAGAAGAAGCCCCGGCUAACUUCGUGCCAGCAGCCGCGGUAAUACGAAGGGGGCUAGCGUUGUUCGGAUUUACUGGGCGUAAAGCGCACGUAGGCGGAUCGUUAAGUCGGGGGUGAAAUCCUGGAGCUCAACUCCAGAACUGCCUUCGAUACUGGCGAUCUUGAGUCCGGAAGAGGUGAGUGGAACUCCUAGUGUAGAGGUGGAAUUCGUAGAUAUUAGGAAGAACACCAGUGGCGAAGGCGACUACCUGGACUGAUACUGACACUGAGGUGCGAAAGCGUGGGGAGCAAACAGGAUUAGAUACCCGUGUAGUCC